UAAAAUCGUUUAGAGCGCCCUCGUUCUUACUGAUUCAUAGAUGUCUAUACUAUACUAGAUUGAACUUCUCAAAAGAGCUGUAUCCCGCCCAUUUUCCGGUUCGGCCAUGAAGACCGCCAAGACAUGGCGGCGGUGUGUGUUUGUAGUGUGUAUGUGAAUACCCGAUGCGUAUGUAGUAGUGCGUGGUAGUGCGUAUGUGACACCUGAUGUGUCUACUACUAUUUAUGUUAGUAAAACUGCAAAUCUACAAACGAGAUAAUGCCGAAUAAGUAUUGUAAAUUUCAAAAAUACGAACAAGAAAGAAUAUCAUUUAAAGAUGAUUUCUAUCUUUCGUUGUUUUUAUAACCCUCACAUAUUACAAACCUCGAACAUUUAUUAUAUAUAAAUGUAUUC